UACGUAGGGUGCGAGCGUUGUCCGGAAUUAUUGGGCGUAAAGAGCUCGUAGGCGGUCUGUCGCGUCGGUCGUGAAAACUCAGGGCUUAACCCUGAGCCUGCAGUGGGUACGGGCAGACUAGAGUGUGGUAGGGGAGAUCGGAAUUCCUGGUGUAGCGGUGGAAUGCGCAGAUAUCAGGAGGAACACCGGUGGCGAAGGCGGAUCUCUGGGCCAUAACUGACGCUGAGGAGCGAAAGCAUGGGGAGCGAACAGG
rnacentral:rRNA from 1 species